UUUUUUAUAAAAAUAAUUUAUUUAUUUAAAGUUUUAGUAUUAAUUAAAAAUUAAUUUAUAGAUUUAUAGUUUAAUAGUAUUGUGAAAGAAAUAUUUAGAUUUUAAAAAGAAUAAAUUUAGUACCUUUUGUAUCAGGGUUGAUUAAAAUUUUUAAUUUUUUUUUAAAUUCUCAAAAUUUAUAGAGUUAAUUUUAUUAUUAAUUUAUUGUAUUAUAAAUAUUUAUAAAAUAAUAUUAGUUUUGAAAUUUAAUUCGUUAUAUUAUAUUUAGUUAUUUAAGAUUUAAAUUUAAUUUAAAAUUUUAAAAGUUAUUUUGAUUUUAUUAAUUAAUAUUUUAAAUUUAAAUUAUUUUAGGGAUAAGCUUGAAAUUUUUAUAUAAUAAUUUAUUUAAUUUAAUAAUUUAUAGGAAUAGAAAUUUUUAUUUAAGUUUGUAAAAAUUUAUUAUUUAUUUUAUUUUAAUUUAUUAUAAUUUAUUUAUUUUUUAUAUUAAAUUUUAUUAAUUAAUAUUUAAUUAAUAGUAAUAAUGAUUAAAUUAGUAUAAUUAAUAUUUAUAAAUUAUGAAUUCGGCAAAAAUUAUUUUCAUCUGUUUAACAAAAACAUUGUAUUAAGUUUAAUUUAAUAUAGGAUCUGCUCAAUGAUUUAUUAAAUAGCUGCAGUAUUUUGACUGUGCAAAGGUAGCAUAAUAAUUAGUCUUUUAAUUGAGGACUUGUAUGAAAGAUUUGAUGAGAAAUAAACUUUAUUAUUUAUAUAAUUAAAAUUUUAUUUUUAAGUAAAAAAGCUUAAAUUAUUUAAAGGGACGAUAAGACCCUAUAAAACUUUAUAAAUUUUAAAUUUAAUUUUUUUGGAUUUAUAAAUAUUUUAUUUUUAAAAUUUAUUUUAUUGGGGUGAUAAAAAAAAUUAAUAAACUUUUUUUAAAAAUCAACAUUAUUUAAUGAAUAUUUGAAUUAAAAUUUUUAAUUAAAGGAAAAAGUUACUUUAGGGAUAACAGCGUAAUUAAUUUUUUAAGUUCAAAUUUAAAAAUUAGUUUGCGACCUCGAUGUUGAAUUAAGAUUAAUCUUAGGUGCAAAAUUUUAAGUAUUAGGUCUGUUCGACCUUUAAA
rnacentral:rRNA from 1 species